UACGAAGGUGGCUAGCGUUGCUCGGAAUCACUGGGCGUAAAGCGCACGUAGGCGGCUUGUUAAGUCAGGGGUGAAAUCCUGGAGCUCAACUCCAGAACUGCCUUUGAUACUGGCGAGCUUGAGUUCGGGAGAGGUGAGUGGAACUGCGAGUGUAGAGGUGAAAUUCGUAGAUAUUCGCAAGAACACCAGUGGCGAAGGCGGCUCACUGGCCCGAUACUGACGCUGAGGUGCGAAAGCGUGGGGAGCAAACAGG
rnacentral:rRNA from 1 species